rnacentral:sRNA from 2 species
GAUAGUACCUUACUACUUGGAUAACCGUGGUAAUUCUAGAGCUAAUACAUGCUAAAAAUCCCGACUUCGGAAGGGAUGUAUUUAUUAGAUUAAAAACCAAUGCCCUCUGGGCUCCUUGGUGAUUCAUGAUAACUUCUCGAAUCGCAAACCGGCCUUGCGCCGGCGAUGGUUCAUUCAAAUUUCUUCCCUAUCAACUUUCGAUGUUUGGGUAGUGGCCAAACAUGGUUGCAACGGGUAACGGAGGGUUAGGGCUCGACCCCGGAGAAGGAGCCUGAGAAACGGCUACUACAUCCAAGGAAGGCAGCAGGCGCGCAAAUUACCCAAUCCCGAUUCGGGGAGGUAGUGACAAUAAAUACUGAUACAGGGCUCUAAUUUGGGUCUUGUAAUUGGAAUGAGUACAAUUUAAAUCCCUUAACGAGGAACAAUUGGAGGGCAAGUCUGGUGCCAGCAGCCGCGGUAAUUCCAGCUCCAAUAGCGUAUAUUAAAGUUGUUGUGGUUAAAAAGCUCGUAGUUGAACCUUGGGCCUGGCUGGCCGGUCCGCCUCACCGCGUGUACUGGUCCGGCCGGGCCUUUCCCUCUGUGGAACCCCAUGCCCUUCACUGGGCGUGGCGGGGAAACAGGACUUUUACUUUGAAAAAAUUAGAGUGCUCCAGGCAGGCCUAUGCUCGAAUACAUUAGCAUGGAAUAAUGAAAUAGGACGUGCGGUUCUAUUUUGUUGGUUUCUAGGACCGCCGUAAUGAUUAAUAGGGACAGUCGGGGGCAUCAGUAUUCAAUUGUCAGAGGUGAAAUUCUUGGAUUUAUUGAAGACUAACUACUGUUGCCAAGGAUGUUUUCAUUAAUCAGGAACGAAAGUUAGGGGAUCGAAGACGAUCAGAUACCGUCGUAGUCUUAACCAUAAACUAUGCCGACUAGGGAUCGGACGAUGUUAAAUUUUGA